UUUGAUCCUGGCUCAGGAUGAACGCUAGCGGCAGGCUUAACACAUGCAAGUCGAGGGGUAUUGGUUUUCGGACCAAGAGACCGGCGCACGGGUGCGUAACGCGUAUGCAAUCUACCUUUCACAGAGGGAUAGCCCAGAGAAAUUUGGAUUAAUACCUCAUAGUAUUAUAGAGUGGCAUCACUUUAUAAUUAAAGUCACAACGGUGAAAGAUGAGCAUGCGUCCCAUUAGCUAGUUGGUAAGGUAACGGCUUACCAAGGCUACGAUGGGUAGGGGUCCUGAGAGGGAGAUCCCCCACACUGGUACUGAGACACGGACCAGACUCCUACGGGAGGCAGCAGUGAGGAAUAUUGGACAAUGGGCGCAAGCCUGAUCCAGCCAUGCCGCGUGCAGGAUGACGGUCCUAUGGAUUGUAAACUGCUUUUGCACAGGAAGAAACAACGCUACGUGUAGCGUCUUGACGGUACUGUGAGAAUAAGGAUCGG
rnacentral:rRNA from 1 species